GAUGAACGCUGGCGGCGUGCCUGAUACAUGCAAGUCGAACGGAGCUCGGUUGGAAAGUCCUUCGGGACCGGAAUUCUGAGCUUAGUGGCGGACGGGUGAGUAACGCGUGAGCAAUCUGCCUUUGAGAGGGGAAUAACAGUCGGAAACGACUGCUAAUACCGCAUAAUGUAUCGUGAUCGCAUGGUCGUGAUACCAAAGAUUUUAUCGCUCAAAGAUGAGCUCGCGUCCCAUUAGCUAGUUGGUGAGGUAACGGCCCACCAAGGCGACGAUGGGUAGCCGGACUGAGAGGUUGAACGGCCACAUUGGGACUGAGACACGGCCCAG
rnacentral:rRNA from 1 species